CGCACAUUGCGCCCGCCAGUAUUCUGGCGGGCAUGCCUGUCCGAGCGUCAUUUCAACCCUCGAACCCCUCCGGGGGGUCGGCGUUGGGGAUCGGCCACCCUCUAAACCGGGCGGCCGUCUCCGAAAUACAGUGGCGGUCUCGCCGCAGCCUCUCCUGCGCAGUAGUUUGCACACUCGCAACGGGAGCGCGGCGCGUCCAAUGCCGUAAAACACCCCAAACUUCUGAAAUGUUGACCUCGGAUCAGGUAGGAAUACCCGCUGAACUUAA
rnacentral:misc_RNA from 1 species